GUCCACGCCCUAAACGAUGUCAACUAGUUGUCGGGGAUUAACUUCCUUGGUAACGCAGCUAACGCGUGAAGUUGACCGCCUGGGGAGUACGGUCGCAAGAUUAAAACUCAAAGGAAUUGACGGGGACCCGCACAAGCGGUGGAUGAUGUGGAUUAAUUCGAUGCAACGCGAAAACCUUACCUACCCUUGACAUGUCUGGAACCCUGCUGAAAGGUGGGGGUGCUCGAAAGAGAGCCAGAACACAGGUGCUGCAUGGCUGUCGU
rnacentral:rRNA from 1 species